AAGCCAUGAUUAGGACACCUUCUUAACAUCACUUUCAAACGUUCCCAAGCUUCACAAAACGGUCCAUCUAGCCAUUGCCUGAAUGUGGAGAUAUCAGACUUGGCCU
rfam:Phaseolus vulgaris cultivar G19833 chromosome 7, whole genome shotgun sequence.